AGAGUUUGAUCAUGGCUCAGAGUGAACGCUGGCGGCAGGCCUAAUACAUGCAAGUCGAACGGCAGCACAGCAGAGCUUGCUCUGUGGGUGGCGAGUGGCGGACGGGUGAGGAAUACAUGGGAAUCUGCCCAGUCGUGGGGGAUAACGUAGGGAAACUUACGCUAAUACCGCAUGCGCCCUUCGGGGGAAAGCCGGGGACCUUCGGGCCUGGCGCGAUUGGAUGAGCCCAUGUCGGAUUAGCUAGUUGGCGGGGUAAAGGCCCACCAAGGCGACGAUCCGUAGCUGGUCUGAGAGGAUGAUCAGCCACACUGGAACUGAGACACGGUCCAGACUCCUACGGGAGGCAGCAGUAGGGAAUAUUGGACAAUGGGCGCAAGCCUGAUCCAGCCAUGCCGCGUGAGUGAAGAAGGCCUUCGGGUUGUAAAGCUCUUUUGUCCGGAAAGAAAAACCUUGGGUUAAUACCCUGAGGUUCUGACGGUACCGGAAGAAUAAGCACCGGCUAACUUCGUGCCAGCAGCCGCGGUAAUACGAAGGGUGCAAGCGUUACUCGGAAUUACUGGGCGUAAAGCGUGCGUAGGUGGUUUGUUAAGUCUGAUGUGAAAGCCCUGGGCUCAACCUGGGAAUUGCAUUGGAUACUGGCAGGCUAGAGUGCGGUAGAGGGUAGUGGAAUUCCCGGUGUAGCAGUGAAAUGCGUAGAGAU
rnacentral:rRNA from 1 species